rnacentral:rRNA from 2 species
GGAUGCGAUCAUACCAGCACUAAAGCACCGGAUCCCAUCAGAACUCCGAAGUUAAGCGUGCUUCGGCGAGAGUAGUAAUAGGAUGGGUGACCUCUUGGGAAGUCCUCGUGUUGCAUUCC